GUUACUUGAAGAGAGGUCGUCUUUCAUUUGUUCACUUUAUUAGUGGUGAAUAUAUACGGGUAAGCUCUCUCUGAGGAGC
rnacentral:pre_miRNA from 13 species